GUCUCUUUCACUUCUCGGCCACCAUGAGGUGGGCAGACAUUUCUCCAGUGAGCUCUUGCCAUUAUUAUCACCAUAGGCCCAAAGAGAUGGGGCCAAUCAAUCCUGGAUGCAAACCUCUGAAGCUGUGAGCAAAAACAAACCUUUCCUCUUUUUAAGUUGAUUAUCUCAGGUAUUUUAUUACAGUAGCAGAAAGCUGACUAAUACAUUAUUAGGCCAUAUGGAUAGAUCAUGGGUGGGUUUUCCCGUCAACACCUUCACCUGUAGUCUCAGGUGUCUACCAGGUAUGUGAGUAAAGAAGCCUUUGAACUAAAGCUUUUGGGUUGCAACAUGAGAAGUGACCCUGAACAAGAAUCACCUUGCCAAACCCACUCAACCAAAUCCACUCGGGAGAUAACAGUAAAGUGACCAUUGCUGCUUCUAUACAGUCUAAUAAUAACAAUCUUGUCCAGAGGAAGAAACAGUGUCCAUAGUGAUAGGUGCCCUGCAGAAAAAUAAAACCAAACAAGGGAUGGGGAGGCACUGGUAUUUCCGUUCAGGGGGUCAAAGGAGGCGUCUCUGGUGGUGAUAUUGAGGAUGAAUGGAAACUCAGUUCCCAGAUUUCCAAUAGAGCUGACCUUGAGGCUCAUUGGAUGGACUUGAGUCAUGUGCCUAUCCCUGAGCCAAUCAGCG
rnacentral:lncRNA from 1 species